rnacentral:lncRNA from 1 species
UAGCUGAUGUUGUUUAAUAAGUCCAAGAUCUCAAUUUCCUCAGGGACAGUUUGUAUUGAUUUUUUUUUCCUGUUUCACAAUUGGUUGUUGAAAAUUGGACAUUUAAGAUAAAAUAAUAUGCUGGGUGUGGUAGCACAGGCUCCAUCCUAGCUGCUCAGGAGGCCGAUGCAGGAGGAUCUCGAGUUCAAAGCCAGCCUCAGCAACUUAGCGGAGGUCCUCAGCAACUCAGUGACACCUUGUCUCUAAAUAAGUUACAAAAUAGGGCUGGGGAUGGGGCUCCGUGGUCAAGUGACUGUGGGUUCCAUCCCCAGUACCAAAAAAAUAAAAUAAAGUAAAAUGACAUGGCAAGUCCAGAGUCAGAUCGUCCUGUCCUCCUCCAGGGCUUGCUGACCCGUCACCGUUCCUUUAGGGCCUCUCCUAGAUGAGUGUUGUGGAGCCUGGUCUGUACAACCCCUUGAGUUCCUGCUUGGCUUGCUAGUGUGUAGCCAAUAGUUGGACACAGAAGUCCUUAAGUCACCCCCAUCAGCAAAUCCUGUGUCCUUCACCGAGGCCGUAUAUGUAUGUGCUGACAUGUGCUCUCACUUCCUGCUUGUGCGUGUCUGCCAUCUCAGCCCAGGCAAGAAACGAGGGCUCCCCCAAGGUCUUUCCAGGGUGUGUGUCCACCCUACACGUGGGUGUGCCCUUCCUGAUUCCCAGGACUCUGGUGGACCUCACAGGGCCUGCUGCUGGCAUCUCCUCUGCCUGACUUUCCUUCAGUUUCUUGACCACUGUCCUGUUCACACCAACAGGCACAGUCACCUUGGACAGUGGCAUGGUUACACAGUGGCCACUAUUUUCAUCAGAUGCCUGGGGACAGGGCUUCCUGUGGUGAGCCUUCUUCAUGAGUGGGGAUUUCCAGGUCUUGGCCUGACAGGUCACACAGUGACACUGCUUUGAUGGGGUUUUGAGGGGAGCUCCGCCUGCCCCCUCAAUGGUUGCUAGCUUCUGAGUCUCAAGGCUGUCACAGAGUGGAGUGGAGGCAGGUGGGACUUGGGUAACUCACAACACCAGAGAGCUCCUAUCUCUUUCUAAGAGGCCUCCAUUUUCUUGAGUCCCCACCCUGUGGAUCAUUGUGUUUCAUUUUCCAGAAAUCGAAACCAUUGAUUUUGACCAUUUUUGC